GCGUUCGGCUUGCUCAGCGAGCUUGGCGAUGAAGACAAGGUUCUCUCGUUCAUUGGAGGAAGCCAUUGAUUAUUGGUAGAUUCACUCAGUUUCUCGCUCUAACACUUUCUCUAUCUAGAAGGAAAGCGAAGCAAAAAAACUAACACAUGAAGAGAGAAAAUAGAGACGCGGCGACACGACUCGACAAAACAGGCCGGCUAAAUUUUCCGGGCGAUGCGCGCGGUUAGGACGCGGAUGACCCACUGCUACGAUGCAACGGUAUCGUUU
rnacentral:misc_RNA from 1 species